UACGAAGGGGGCUAGCGUUGCUCGGAAUCACUGGGCGUAAAGCGCACGUAGGCGGCUUGUUAAGUCAGGGGUGAAAUCCUGGAGCUCAACUCCAGAACUGCCUUUGAUACUGGCGAGCUUGAGUUCGGGAGAGGUGAGUGGAACUGCGAGUGUGGAGGUGAAAUUCGUAGAUAUUCGCAAGAACACCAGUGGCGAAGGCGGCUCACUGGCCCGAUACUGACGCUGAGGCACGAAAGCGUGGGGAGCAAACAGG
rnacentral:rRNA from 1 species